UUGAACGCUGGCGGCAUGCCUAACACAUGCAAGUCGAACGAGAAAGGGGGGGCAACUCCCCGAGUAAAGUGGCGAACGGGUGAGUAAUACGUAGGAAUCUGCCCUAGAGUGGGGGAUAACCUGCCGAAAGGCGGGCUAAUACCGCAUAACCUCUACGGAGCAAAGGUGCCUUGUACUUCGGUGCGGGGUUUCGCUUUAGGAUGAGCCUACGUCGGAUUAGUUUGUUGGUAAGGUAACGGCUUACCAAGGCGACGAUCCGUAGCUGGUCUGAGAGGACGAUCAGCCACACUGGAACUGAGACACGGUCCAGACUCCUACGGGAGGCAGCAGUGGGGAAUAUUGGACAAUGGGGGCAACCCUGAUCCAGCAAUGCCGCGUGUGUGAUGAAGGCCUGCGGGUUGUAAAGCACUUUCGGUGGGGAAGAAACGCUUAAAUAUAAUACAUUUAAGAACUGACGUUACCCACAGAAGAAGCACCGGCUAACUCU
rnacentral:rRNA from 1 species